ACUCAACGUUAAUUCUUUAAAAAGGGUGAGUUUAAGUUGUAAAACCGUGCUACUAGUACAGAUGUAUUUCUGUAUUCAGGUAGAUUUUUGAUCAGCUUGUUAGCCCUAAACUUGUAUUUAAGGAGUUU
rnacentral:sRNA from 1 species